rnacentral:lncRNA from 1 species
AUCUACAUCCUCUUGGCUCUGUCUCUCUAGAAAGCCUUCACUAACACGGGGUUGGAAGCGUCUCGCUCAGCGGGAGGUGAGGGGAGAAGACCACACCCAGCACCCCCACCCUGCCCUCCAAGAGAACUCUUCCAUUGUCCUCUUUCCCAUCCCUUCUGGAGGUGAGUGUUGAGCUAAGGUCACAAAACCUGCUGUCACCUGUGUCUCCUGAAGCUCCACUGGCUGUUCACAUGUCUCCUCUGGGAUCGGGGGUACUCAGCAUCGUUUGCCUGGUUCCCAGCCUUGGGCAGCUCAGCAAAACUGAGACGCAGAGUCACAUCUGCAUUUCCUCAAGCUCCCACCAUAUCCUGAAGAGCGUGGCUGAUGACCCCUGUUCAGAGAUGGGGCAUCUGCGGACCCCAGAGGCAAAGUCCCAUGGCCAGGCAGUGGCAUUGCUGAGACUUAAGCCCUCGGCCUCCCGCCUUCCCCACUGACCACGCCAGCUCUUUGGCGGCUAUUUAGGAGGGACACUGGUUAGAAUGGACAAUGAGUAAACCAUCAGCCCUAAAGGGGAAAAUGCAGGUGGCUGUGUGUGGGGAUGAGGACAUGAUAAAGACACAUGUCUUUAGUAAGUGCCAGCUGUGUGCCUAGGCUCAGCCCCUGACCUCAGCGAGUGUGGAGGCCAGAGGACCAAGACUGACCCACAUGCAGGGUACAAGGGAAGAGCAGUAUAAAUCAGAGGGCCCACCUGUGAUGACAUCCUUGAGGACCAAAGAAGCUACAAGGGAUGGAGCAGCCCAGAAAGCUCCCUAGGGAGCUACACCAGGGCCCGGGCAAGUCCAAAGACCCCCAGAAGAAGAAGGGCGAGUACAGAACAAUAGGACAUUUGAGAGAGAGAAAGAUCACAUUCCCAUAACUUUUAUUACAGUAUAUUGUUAUCAUCGUUUUACUUUAUUAUUAGUUGUUGUUAAUCUCUUACUGUGCCUAAUUUAUAAAUUAAACUUUAUCAUCACUAUGUAUAGGAAAAAACAGUAUAUACAGUCAUGCAUCAAUUAACAACGCGGACAUCCUCUGAGCAAUGCAUCAUUAGGUGGUUUCCUUGUUGUGCAACCAUCAUAGAGCGCAGUCACGCAAACCUGGCUGGUACAGCCCACUGCACCGUGUGGCCGUGUGGGGCUAAUCUUAUGGGAGCACAGUCAUGUAUGAGAAUUAAAGGGAGAAUUCCAGCACAACCAAGGCCUGCAAGAUUCCAAAGACAAGGAGACGGAAGACCCUGGGCAAGUCCCUUACUCCCUCUGGACCGGCAAAAUGAGAGGCCUGGAAACGGCUGCAGGGCCCUCUCAGCACAGAUGCCUCCCAGGAUCCUUGGCUCUCCUUGAGGCAGGGAAACCUCCUCCUAAUGAUGCUCACUUAACAGUGUCCACAGACAGUCUUGGGCCACACUGAGUGUUCCCCAAGGCCCCAGAGAGGACCAGACAGUCACCCAGAUGGGGAAGGGGCCCUGGGUCCAGAUCCCAGUGGGUGACAGAAUCUCUGUGUCUGGCUGUGUGCCGUGCUGAGGUGUUGCUGAGAAUUCCAACCCAACCCUUUG